CCCCAUAUACUGACAUUCUGAAUUCUGUUAGUUUAUAUGAAUACCGCACAAAAUUGAGUUUAGCAUAUAGCCUGUUCAAAGCAACUUAGUUUAUUAUGUACUGAAAGGCAACGGAUUUGCUGCCCUGCCUAAGGGAUCAGAAGAGUAUUUAUAUUUACUGGCAUGAAUAUACAGCAGAACACUUAAAGUGAGAAAGCAAGUGCUGGGUUCAGGUCUCCAAAGUCCUGCUCUCCAGCCUAAAGCUUCCAUACAGGCUCUUCUCCAACUUUCCUUACCGUAGGACCCUUUGGUAGGAGGAAGUAUGGAGAGAAGCUUAGCAGGAGAUUAGUUAAAGAUUUGCUUAAGGUCUCCUUCUGCAUUCUUUCUUUUUCUUACAGAUUAUGAUGGUGAGAUUUGUUUUUGUAGUCUGUGUGUUGAGGAAAAGCUAUUUUUCACCUGAGCCAACCCCAGCUGGCCUAAGCCAACUACUGUAAAACAAUUCUGUGAUUUACAGUUAUCCUGUUUUUUUUUAAUCUUCUCCCCUCUUUGAAUAUUCAAGCUCCGUGCAUUGACCAAAAUUUAUCCCAUGCUAAAUACAACAGUUUACAACAUCCUAUGAAAGUAUCAUGGAAUUUUAAAACAAAUCAGUGAUAUUAAAAAUAGCUGAAAGCGAUGAUAUCUGUUCUAGAAAUAUGAAAAUACUUUUGCUCAGAAGCUCAAACAUGCGUCUGGGUCUCAUCUCUGAAGAGAUGGUCUUCACUCUCAUCUCUUGCCUUCCACUACUUAAAAGCUCUUUUACUGAAAGAGUGCUGCAUAAAGCUGCAAAUAUCAUUUGAUAGCUGAACAGCACGUUAUUCCUGAUAAAUACAAGAUAAUACUUUUGAACAUAAUUUGCAUGACUUUUCUCCCUCCCUUCUCCUUCUAGACUGAUUCAUCUACAGAAAAAAUUAGUAUCAUUGGAGAAGAACUGUCUGCAUUAAAUGGGAAGGUAUGAAUUACCAUCUUCAGCUUUUAAGGGGAAAGAACAGUUCUUAUAUAUCCUCCAGGAAGUUCACCUGUAGUAGGAUUUUCAUUCUACAUAUUUACAGCCACUUAAACCUUAAAAUAUCAUGCCCUGAAAUGGAGAAUUAUUCCCUUUGAUCUGAGUGAAAACUUAAUGGAAUCAGUAUUGAAUGCUUCUAAAAAUCCUACUCUAUAUUUUAUAAUUUCCCAAACCCCAGAAAUGAACCAUAUUAAACUGACUUAUGCAACAUUUUUAAAUGCUAUUGCUAUACAUAUCAUAAUACUACAUAAAACCUGAAAUAAGUGGUUUUCUCAUAAUAUUUUAUGCUUCUGUAAAUACUUUCAGAAAGACUCUUCAGAAAGCACUAAAAUAAUGUAAGUAAAGUGACAUAAUCCUUUGAAAAUCACUUGCAACUUAUUUGUAACUGACUUUUAUAGUGCAAACAUUUUUUUCCUAGCUGUGUAAUUCAGUGACUGUUGCCAUGAAAUUGUUUUUUUUCUCUCCCUGAAUAAUCUUUUCCAGAAUGUGUUAGUAGUAGAGGACAUUAUUGAGACCGGCAGAACAAUGGAGACGCUACUUUCAAAACUAAAAGACUACAAACCAAAGAUGGUAAAAGUAGUAAGUCUGCUCAUUAAAAGAACACAUCAAAGUUCAGGUUACAGACCAGAUUGUUCUAAGCACGCUAAAUACCUUGAAAGCAGAUGAAGUAUCUGUGAAGCAUUGCCUUUAUGUAGCUGAGACAACCCAUACAUUUAAAAGCUAUUUAUACAAUUCAAAUAUAAAAAGAACUGGAUUUUGUUACAGAUACAGGCUUUGAAAUUCCAGACAAAUUUGUGUUUGGAUAUGCUCUUGACUAUAAUGAAUACUUCAGAGAUCUAAAUCACAUCUGCAUUCUGAAAGAGAAAGCCAGAGAGAAAUAUAAAAUCUGAUCGCAUCAGUCUUCUAGAGUAACAGCCCAGUGGCACAUACAGCCAUGUGGAUGUACAAUAAGAAGUAAUUUCCUAUUAAUCAUGUUUGUUUCACCGAAAAACUGCAACAUGUUUUUAAAGAUAGUUCUUUUGUAUACUUUUCAUAUAAUGUUGAAAAUAAUGUUAAACAAUGUAACAAAGGCAAAUGACUUCUCUUCAAGUUUUAGUGAAACUAGAACAGACCACUGGCCAUAAAAUGUGUAUCAUAUUGUGUACUAUAUCCCACUGGAAUCAGAGGGGACAGAGCCAGAACACAUACAUAUUUAUAUCUAUGUAUACAGUUAUGUGUAUAUGUGUAUACAGUUAUGUUUGGGUUUUUAGUUACUGUAUAAAGUAGCACAUCAUGUGUACUGUAUUUAAACUGCAAUUAUGUCUAUAUGUGUGCAAAUAUAUAGAUAGACAGGAAGAUUUGUACUUUAUAUA